GCAGCUAUAGCUCAGUGGUAAAGCGUGUGCUUAGCAUGCACAAAGUCCUGGGUUCAAUCCCCUGUACCUCCA
rnacentral:tRNA from 1 species